UUCGCCCUUAGAGUUUGAUCCUGGCUCAGGACGAACGCUGGCGGCGUGCCUAACACAUGCAAGUCGAACGAAGCUUGAUUUCUGAUUUUUUCGGAAUGACGAAUGAUAUGACUGAGUGGCGGACGGGUGAGUAACGCGUGAGCAACCUGCCCUUCGGAACGGGAUAGUGUCUGGAAACGGACAGUAAUACCGUAUAACAUAUAUUGAUCGCAUGGUUGAUAUAUCAAAACUGAGGUGCCGAAGGAUGGGCUCGCGUCUGAUUAGAUAGUUGGUGGGGUAACGGCCUACCAAGUCGACGAUCAGUAGCCGGACUGAGAGGUUGAACGGCCACAUUGGGACUGAGACACGGCCCAGACUCCUACGGGAGGCAGCAGUGGGGAAUAUUGCACAAUGGGGGAAACCCUGAUGCAGCAACGCCGCGUGAAGGAAGACGGUUUUCGGAUUGUAAACUUCUGUUCUUAGUGAAGAAUAAUGACGGCAGCUAAGGAGCAAGCCACGGCUAACUACGUGCCAGCAGCCGCGGUAAUACGUAGGUGGCAAGCGUUGUCCGGAAUUACUGGGUGUAAAGGGAGCGUAGGCGGGAUGCCAAGUCAGCUGUGAAAACUAUGGGCUUAACUUGUAGACUGCAGUUGAAACUGGUAUUCUUGAGUGAAGUAGAGGUUGGCGGAAUUCCGAGUGUAGCGGUGAAAUGCGUAGAUAUUCGGAGGAACACCGGUGGCGAAGGCGGCCAACUGGGCUUUAACUGACGCUGAGGCUCGAAAGUGUGGGGAGCAAACAGGAUUAGAUACCCUGGUAGUCCACACUGUAAACGAUGAUAACAAGGUGUGGGGGGUCUGACCCCUUCCGUGCCGCAGCUAACGCAAUAAGUUACUCCACCUGGGGAGUACGAACCGCAAGGUUGAAAACUCAAAGGAAUUGACGGGGACCCGCACAAGCAGUGGAUUAUGUGGUUUAAUUCGAAGCAACGCGAAGAACCUUACCAGCACUUGACAUCCGACUAACGAAGUAGAGAUACAUUAGGUGCCCUUCGGGGAAAGUCGAGACAGGUGGUGCAUGGUUGUCGUCAGCUCGUGUCGUGAGAUGUUGGGUUAAGUCCCGCAACGAGCGCAACCCCUGCCAUUAGUUGUUACGCAAGAGCACUCUAAUGGGACCGCUACCGACAAGGUGGAGGAAGGUGGGGACGACGUCAAAUCAUCAUGCCCCUUAUGUGCUGGGCUACACACGUAAUACAAUGGCCAUCAACAAAGAGAAGCAAUACCGCGAGGUGGAGCAAAACUAUAAAAAUGGUCUCAGUUCGGACUGCAGGCUGCAACUCGCCUGCACGAAGUCGGAAUUGCUAGUAAUCGUGGAUCAGCAUGCCACGGUGAAUACGUUCCCGGGCCUUGUACACACCGCCCGUCA
rnacentral:rRNA from 1 species